GACGAACUAGUGGAGCGUCUAUUAUUGCAUUGGGCAGUAGCUACAGAUUAUAGUUGCUAGCAUCUUCCGUGGUUUCAAUUUAUUGGACUAUGGUUAAAUAAUUGAUGCAAAUUCUUAGGAGAUUGGCACGGAAUACAAGCAAUGGUGAGCAUUCAGAAGCAUGGUCAAUUUGUAUAGGGUUUUUAAACUGAACCAACACAACCGAAAUACAUGGAAGUAAGACUGAACUGAAUUGAUUAAGUUCUUA
rnacentral:misc_RNA from 1 species